CAAGCUUGGAUUCCUUUUGCCGAUCCUAACCUUAUUUCUCUGUUCAAACAAAAAAAAAUAAAAAGAAUAUGAGCUACACUAGCCCAGUAAGUAGAACUUGCGCUUCCUUAUCGGAUCAAACAUAAGUUUUUCAUGAUAAUACAAUAUUUAGAAAAUAACAGGUAAUACAAAAUAAAGCAUUUCAUAGAGCAUAUAACAAAACAAGUUAUAAAUUCAUCAUGCAUGUAUAAAUUAUGUAUAUUUCACAAUCAUGAAUCGUAAAUCAUUUUCAUCAUGCAUUCAUGUCAUGUUUCAAAAUAUUGCUCACAGAUAUUCGUGCUAAGGUCACUAUUAUACCCGUGACAGGACCAUGUUUCUUAAUCGAUAGAGUUCUUAAUUCAUGUGCCAACUUUAUACCCGCUGGCAGGGCCAUGUUUGGUGUGGAUGCUAGCUCCGGAUAUCGACCUUCCCGAAGAAAUUUAUUCAUAGCCAUCUGAGAGCCUUUGAAAUCAUUAUAUCUUUUUCUUAAAGCAUACAUAUACAUAGAUGGAAAAACAAUGAAAUUCUUGCUUCAUAAUCAUGCUAUUUUCAUAAGACAUAUUCAUGAAAUCAAUGCUCAUAAUAAAAUAUAUUUUUUCAUAUCACAUAUGCCGAUCCUUAUUUUAUGAAAAAUUAUGAUUUCAUCAAUAGCAAUUCU
rnacentral:lncRNA from 1 species